rnacentral:rRNA from 1 species
AGUCGAGCGAGAAGACGUAGCAAUACGUUUGUAAAGCGGCGAACGGGUGAGGAAUACAUGGGUAACCUACCCUCGAGUGGGGAAUAACUAGCCGAAAGGUUAGCUAAUACCGCGUACGCUCCUUGGACUUCGGUUCAGGGAGGAAAGCGAUACCGUGGGUAUCGCGCUCUUGGUUGGGCUCAUGUCCUAUCAGCUUGUUGGCGGGGUAACGGCCCACCAAGGCUGCGACGGGUAGCUGGUCUGAGAGGACGACCAGCCACACUGGAACUGAGACACGGUCCAGACUCCUACGGGAGGCAGCAGUGGGGAAUAUUGCGCAAUGGGGGAAACCCUGACGCAGCCAAUCCGCGUGUGUGAUGAAGGCCUUCGGGUCGUAAAGCACUGUCGUAGGGGAAGAAUCAAUGACGGUACCCUACAAGAAAGCACCGGCUAACCCCGUGCCAGCAAGCCGCGGUAAUACGGGGGGUGCAAGCGUUGCUCGGAAUCACUGGGCGUAAAGCGUCCGCAGGUGGUUGUGUAGUGUCGGAUGUGAAAAGCCCAGG